GGUUGUGGCUCAGUGGUAGAGUGCUUGUCUAGCAUGCAUGAGGCACUGGGUUCAAUCCUCAGCACCA
rnacentral:tRNA from 1 species